AAGACUGUACUUUCAGGGAUCAUUUCUGUAGUUCGUUACUAGAUUGACAUGCUGGUACCUAAAGCCUUGGGAGUAAUAGGAGCUGGCGCAGGGGCAGGGAGAGCCAUAGCAGCAGGCUGCGUCUACCCAUGCCUCAGAGGGUUUUUUGUUUUGCUUUUUGUUGUUUUGUCUUGUUUUGUUUUGUUUUUGAGACAAAGCCUAGGCUAUCUCUGAAUAGC